GUGUCUAUAUUUUUGGUGAUAUCGUUUUGUUGUUAUGACUUUUAGUACUGUCUGAGUCAGUUGGAGGUUUGUCCAAAUGGCUCUUUAGUCUUGAUUAAUAGAGGCUUUAUCAGACUAGUGUAUCAGUAUGUACAGAAUAUCAGUAUUUUGAUUGUACAGGCCAGCAUAUCUUUUCUUUCGAGUAUAUCUAUGAUAUAAUAUCCUUUCUUAUUUUGCCAUGACUACUGUCAAAGUGAGUUCAAAAUGGGAUGAUAGGCUUAGAGAGUCAGCUUGAGGCCACGUGUGGCCUUAAGUACCAUGUGAUGUCUCUGGAUAGGUUCUUGGGGUGUUACAAGCUUGGUAUCAGAGCCUACAGUUUAAAGAGUCCUAGGGAGUCUGACAAGCUGCUUUACAUAGAGUCUUGAUCAUCGAUGUGUAGCGCGCCACAUCUAUAAACAAGAGGCUACAGAACGUUUUGGGAAAAGUCAUUUUUUUCUUUCUAAAGUUUAUCGUGCCUACAACUAUCUCUUUAUCUGUGAUUAACUCAUGCUCUCUUAUAACAGAUAAUGCCUCCUCGUUGAGCUUAUAGAAAUAAUGAGCAACCUCAACCCGUUGAUCCCCUGGACGAGCAUGUGUCUCAUCCAAAAUUUUGGGAAGCUUUUCAGGUGCUAGCCCUGGAAGUUAUCGCCAAUGCUCAAGCUAACACCCAGGCUACUUGGAUGAAGUGAGAAAGAUCACCCUGAUUAUGCACGUGACUAAGGAGAAGAGUGUUGAAUUAGAUGCCUAUCGAAUAAAAGAUAUUGCAUAUGACUGGGUAGAGAUGUGGGGGAAGAGUAGGGAGAGGAUGCCACUCCUAUGACUUGGCAGUUAUUCCAGGAUGCAUUCUUGGACAAAUUCUUCCUUUUUGAGAUGAGGGAAGCAAAGAUAGAGGAAUUCAUAAAUUUGAAACAAGGCUCCAUGACUGUUAAGGAGUAUUGUCUUAGAUUCAAUCAGUUAUCCAAAUAUGCUCCUAGUAUGAUGGCUGACUCCCGGACUAUCAUGAGUAAGUUCGUGACCGGCGUGUCGAGUUAUGUUGUGAGAUAGUGUAGAUCUUCUAUGAUUAAUAGGGAGAUAGAACUUUAUCGGUUGAUGAUAUAUGCCCAACAGAUUAAAGUUGAUAAGGUGAAAGAGAGAGAGAGUAGGAGGGAAUAAAAGAGCUAGAUUAGAGCAGCAGGGAUCCGGUCAGUCCAGAUUCCAUGGAGGGAACCACCCUUAACUCCAAGGACGUCCAUUUAUGCCCGUGCCUUCCUCAGUUAGUGCUCCCGCACCUAGAAGCAGCCAGGCAUAGGGGAGCAGGCCUAUCCCGUCUACGUCUUAGGAAAGUGUAUGUCCAAUUUCAUUUUCCUUCAUGUGCCAAGUGUGGUAGAGAUCAUUUUAGCGAGUGUUUUGUUGAUCAGAGGGGUUGCUUUGGUUGUGGCAAGUUGGGCCACUGACUUAGAUAUUGUCUGUAUGCUAGAUUGGGGAGUCGAGAUGCUCAUCCCCAAAGUCAGGCUACCAGUGCCCCCGCUCCUGUAGUCUGCCUAGUUCUUCCUCAGGGUGCCUCUUCUAGUACUGCUGGCGGUUCUUGCUAAAAUUGCUUCUAUGCUAUACCACCUCACCAGGAGCAGGAGGACUUUCCAGAUAUUGUCACUGGUAUGCUUCGUGUCUUUCAUUUUGAUGUGUAUGCGUUGAUGGACCCUAGGUCAAGCUUUUCUUAUGUGACUCCAUUGGUGGCUGUGAAUUUUAAGAUUAGUGAUGAAAAGAUUUCUGAGCCUAUCCUAGUUUCUACCCCAGUAGGAGAAUCUCUUAUUGCUAAACAAGUGUAUAAGAAGUGUCCUAUCACUGUCCUUUAUAGAGUCUUGUUUGUAGACCCGAUUGAAUUAGACAUGGUCGAUUUUGACAUUAUUCUGGGUAUGGAUUGGCUUCACUCUUGUUAUGUAUCUAUAGACCAUCGUACCCGUGUAGUCAAGUUUUGGUUUCCCAAUGAGCUAGUCUUUGAGUGGUCCAAAAAUUCUGUAUCCCCUAAGAGUCGUUUUGUAUCUUACCUUAAAGCUAGAAAAUUAAUAUCCAAGGGUUGCAUCUAUCAUUUGGUUCGAGUUAAAGACACAAAGUCUGAGACUCCGACUAUUCAGUCUAUCAGUGUUGUCAAUGAGUUUCUUGAUGUUUUCCUGGAAGAUCUCCUAGGGGUACCUCCCGAUAGAGAGAUAGAAUUCGGGAUUGAUCUUCUUCCUGACACACAAUAUAUUUCUUUCCUCCAUAUCGUAUGGCACCCCACAGAACUUAAGGAGUUGAAAGAGAAACUCAAAGAUCUUCUUGAUAAGGGUUUUAUAAGGCCCAGUGUGUCUUCUUGGGGCGCACCCAUUUUGUUCGUGCGAAAGAAUGAUGGUUCAUUGUGUAUGUACAUUGACUAUCGUCAACUCAACAAGGUAACAAUAAAAAACAAAUAUCCUCUUCCUAGAACUGAUGACCUAUUUGAUUAGCUACAAGAUGCCAGUUAUUUCUCGAAAAUAGAUUUGAGAUCUGGUCAUCACCAACUUAAGGUUAGAGAGUGUGAUAUUCUAAAAAUGGCUUUCCGCACCCAUUAUGGUCAUUUUGAGUUCAUGGUUAUGUCUUUUGGUCUAACUAAUGCCCCAACAGCUUUUAUGGACCUCAUAAAUCGGGUGUUCAGACAGUACUUAGAUAUGUUUAUUAUUGUGUUAUGAUAUUGUUGUGUACUCCCGAAGUAACAAACCCUUAGAGGACAUCAGUUAUUUGCCAAGUUUAGCAAGUGUGAAUUUUAGCUAAGGUCAGUUGCCUUUCUGGGUUAUAUUAUUUCUUUUAAAGGUAUUUAAGUUGAUCCUCAAAAGGUAGAAGCUGUGAGGAAUUGUCCUAGACCUAUUUCCCCGUCUAAUAUUAAGAGUUUCUUGGGUCUAGCUGGCUACUACUGUCAUUUUGUUAAAGGCUUCUCUUCUAUUGCAUCUUCUUUGACUCGGUUAACCCAAAAGAAAGUUAAAUUCCAGUGGUCAGAUUCUUGCAAGAAGGGUUUUCAGGAGUUGAAGACUCGACUUACUUCAGCCCCUGUGUUGACCCUUCCUAAUGGUGCAGAUGAUUUUGUGGUGCAUUAUGAUGCCUCUAAAGUUGGUUUGGGUUGCGUAUUGAUGCAUAAGGGUAAGGUUAUAGCCUAUGCCUCUAGGCAGUUGAAACCGCAUGAGAAGAAUUACCUGACCCAUAAUCUCAAAUUAGCUACAGUGGUUUUUGCUUUACAAAUUUGGAGACACUACUUGUACGGUGUUCAUGUUGAUGUCUUUACGGAUCAUAAGAGUUUGCAGUAUGUUUUUACUCGAAGAGAUUUGAAUCUUCGACAGAGGCGAUGGUUAGAAUUAUUGAAGGACUAUGAUUGAGUGUGUUGUACCACCCGGGCAAGGCCAAUAUAGUGGCGGAUGCCCUUAGCAGGUCGUCCAUGGGUAGUCUAGCGCUUGUAGAGAAAGGUAAGAAGGAGUCAGUUUGCAAAGUGCAUCAUUUGGUGAGGUUGGAUGCUAGAUUGCUUGAUUCACCUGAGGGUAAUGUUUGGGUCUAGGGUAGUUUUGAAUCUUCUCUAGUUUUAGAGGUAAAAGAGAAGCAAGAUAUGGAUUCUCGUUUGGUCGAACUGAAAGGGUCAGCUAAAGGCCAAAAGGUGAAGAUUUUCUCCCAAGGGGGAGAUGGUGUAUUAAGGCUUCAGAGUAGGUUGUGUGUGCCUGACAUUGAUGAUUUGAGAUAAAGAAUUAUGGAUGAAGCGCAUAGCGCGUGGUAUUCUAUUCAUCCCGAUGCUACCAAGAUGUACCGCAAUUUGCGGGAAAUCUAUUGGUGGAAUGGUAUGAAGAAAGAUAUAGCGAAGUUCAUAGAGAAGUGUGCAACUUGCCAACAGGUGAAGAUAGAGCACCAAAGACCCAUGGUAUGAUGGAAGAAUUUAGCAUUCCUAUUUAGAAGUGGGAAGAGGUGAACAUGGAUUUCGUGACCGGUUUACCUUUCUCUCGUCAUCAUUGUGAUUCGAUUUGGGUCAUUAUAGAUAGGUUGACUAAGUCCACGCAUUUCUUGCCAGUGCAUACAUCUUUCAUCGCCGAAGACUAUGCUAAGCUGUACAUCCAAGAGUUAGUCAGAUUGCAUGAAGUUCCCUUGUCUAUCACCUCCGAUAGAGGUACUCAAUUUACUUCUUAGUUUUGGAGGGCCUUUCAGAAGGGUCUUGGCACCCAAGUUUAUCUUAAUUCCGCUUUUCAUCUGCAGACAGAUGGUCAAGCUGAGAGGACCAUCCAUACUUUGGAGGAUAUAUUGAGGGAGUGUGUUCUUGAUUUCAAAGGAAGUUGGGAUGAACAUUUGCCAUUGAUUGGAUUUGCUAAUAACAACAGUUUUCAUGCUAGCAUUGGAAUGGCUCCCUUUGAGGCUUUAUAUGAAAGGAGAUGUAGAUCACCCAUAGGUUGGUUUGAAGUGGGUGAAGCUGCUGUGAUUGGACCUGAUGCUGUAUUUGAAGCUAUAGAGAAAGUUAAGCUGAUUCGAGAAAGGUUUAAGACAGCCAGAGUCUUCAGAAGUCAUAUGAAGAUGUGAGAAAAAGAGCUCUUGAGUUUGAAGUUGAUGGUUUAGUGUACCUGAAAAUUUCACCCAUGAAAGGGGUGAAGAGAUUUGGUAAGAAAGGAAAGCUUAGUCCCCGAUAUGUUGGCCCUUACAGAGUUUUGAAUCGUGUUGGGAAAGCAGCUUAUGAGAUUGAGUUGCCUACGGAGUUGUCAGCUGUCCACCCUGUCUUUCACGUUUCUAUGCUUAAUAAAUAUAUUAACAAUUCUGCUAUUGUUGUUGAUCCAUCGAAGAACUUAGACAUUCGGGAUAGCCUUUCUUAUGAAGAGAUUCUGGUUGAAAUUAUAGAUUAUCAAGUCCGUAGACGAAGAAACAAAGAAGUUCCUUUGGUUAAAGUUUUGUGGAGAAAUUAAUCGGUUGAGGGUGCUACUUAGGAAGAAAAAACAGAUAUGCGAGUUAACUACCCCCAUCUCUUCUCUGCAAGUUCAAAUCAAGCUGAAGGUAUUAUUUUUCCUUAAUUCAGUUUCCUCCUAAUCCAGUGUAUUCGGUUAUAUAGUUGUCUUUCAUCUUGAUUCGUGCAUUCAGUGAAGUAUCUAAAAGUCUAGAGUAAAGUAAGCCUAUUGAAUAGAUUAUUUCAGUAGGCAUUUUCAAGUGUCCUCUUUGACCUUGAGUCUAACUAGCAACAUUCGAGGACAAAUGUUUUCAAGGGGGAGAUAUUGUAAUACCCCGACUAUUUCGUAAGCCUAAAUUCAUCUUUUGAGCGAAUGGGAAAGACUACCAAAGUGAAUAAUGUUUAAAUUGUGCUGUAUUUCCCUAAUUUCUACUUUUAUAUCAUGUGGAGAUUUGAUUAAGCUUUCCGUCAAUACCAAUUUCAUCAAAAUCGGAGAUCGGAGCAAGAAGUUAUGACUAUAUGAAGUUCCAUUCAUGAAACAUCGUUAUUUAGAUCCUCAGCGCAUUGCGGAGAUGAUUAAUAUACCAAUUGUCACUUUUCAAUGAGGCUCCAUGAUAUUACCGCAUUUCUCUAAGGCUUAAUACCAGGAUUGUUAAAUUCCAGUGCACCAACGUGAUUCUACCGCGUCGCGGUGCCCUUCCAGGUCAUAACCAAGGUGGCAACGCAAUUUCACCGCGUCGCGCCACUGAGCAGCUUCCCAGUUGUCCAAAAUUCAGUGAAGGACCGCGAUCAUGGCACGUCGCGCCAGGGCCUAAAAUCGGGCUUCAGUUUUAGAAUUUUCUCAAGGGCAUUUUGGUCUUUACGUCCAGUUUGGCCCUCUAUAUAUAGAUUCAAGUAGAGAAGAGUAAUCCAUUUUUCUCUAUUUCUCUUCCAAGAAAUAUCUAGAACUAGGGUUUUUCUCUUCCAAAUCCAAAUCAAAUCUUCUCCAAGAAAUUCAAGAAUUUUUCCAUAGAUUUCACCAAGUUGUUCAAGAAUCAAGUUCUCCAAGUCAAAGACAUCAAGAAACUUAGCUCAAAAGUGUGAACAAAAGUUUCCAAUCAAGUCUUUUCUUCUUAAAGUUAUAAUCCAAGGUAUGUGGGGUUUUGAACAAGAGCAAUUCUUUUGUUCUUGUGCCUAAAGCUUUGAUUUCUAUCAUGGAUUUAUAUGAUUUUGCAAGUGGGUUUAUACCCAAAUUACUUUAUCAUGAGAUUAUGAGAGUAUAAAUUGUUCAAGCUUUAUUAUACAUGAUUAUUUUGCUAUUCCCAAGUUAUGACUUGAUAUUUAAUAUUGUGAAUUUCAUAUUUCUACCAUGAGUUGAUAUUUCAAGUGCUUUCAAGAUAUGUGUCAAGAUUUAAGCUUCCUUAUAACAAACUGGAUUAUUGAGUAUAUUGAUUCAUUAGAUUGAGUUACAAUGAGUCUUGAUACUUCCACAAAGUUAUUGAUGUUGUCAUGAUUUAAUGAAUUGAUACAUUUUGAUAUCGAGAAAGAUUGAUUUGAUUUGAGUCGAGUUAGGAAUCCACAAAUUGAUUAUGAUUUGAUAAAUGAGAAAGAGAUUUGAUUUAGUCUUCAUGAUAGAUCUUUGUGAUGUUUGUGGUGAAUUUUCUAAUGUGUUCUGAGCUUGUGUCUGGGAGUAGUAUUUAGCACCGAGCAGGAAAUGUGGUAUUUCUCCAAAGCUACAUUCCACCAUAGGAUUAAUAUUGAUAAUUGUGGUCUAGAGGACGAGUGGGAUUGUGAUCACUAAAUUUAGGCUGCACUCCCUGUCAAUAGUAUGACGCUUCCGCUAAUGUAGGGUUAUCUCCUUAGGAGGGAAAAACAUUGGACUCCAUAUAGCUCACAUGGUUUAUAUCGUUUAUAAGAACCUCCCAUGUCCAUAAGAGUUGAGUUUCUUGAAUUACCGAGUCACUCCGAGUCUUGAGUUGAAAAGUUGAGUUGUUUAUGAUGAUUUAUAAGGUUUUUAUCAUAUGAUUUAUUUACUAUGAGAUCAUGAAAAGUAUGUUUCAAUCUAACUCAAGCCAAGUGAGCCAUCAUUAUACAUAUGCAUAUUUUCAUGAAAUUGAUUAUGAUAUUUACAUUGUUACAUGCAUCCCCACAUACUCAGUACAUUCCAAAGUGCUGACCCACAUAUUUUUCUAUGGGCUACAUUUUCUCGUAAUGUAGGUUCAGGUACUCAGCUGCAGCCACGUUAGUGAUAUUCGAGUGCCUCAAAUACGUUCCCUCAGUGGUGAGUCCUCAUGGUUUGAGGACCGUGUCUAUAUUUUUGGUGAUAUCGUUCUGUUGUUAUGGCUUUCAGUGCUGUCUGAGUCAGUUGGGGGUUUGUCCCAAUGGAUCUUUAGUCUUGUUUAGUAGAGGCUUUGUUAGACUAGAGUAUCAGUAUGUACAGAAUGUCAGUAUUUUGAUUGUAUAGGCCAGCAUAUCUUUGCUUUCGAGUAUGUCCAUGAUAUGAUAUCCUUUUUUAUUUUUCCAUGACUACCGUCAAAGUGAGUUCAAAAAGGGAUAACAAGCUUAGAGGGUUAGCUUGAGGCCACGUGUGGCCUUAAGUAUCGUGUGACGUCUCGGGAUAGGUUCUUGGGGUGUUACAGCACCCUAAGGAGACACACUGGGAUAGAUAAAACCUUUAUCUAAGAGAUCCUUCCAUUGGUCCUUAACCUCCUUCAACUCAGCCGGAGCCAUUUUAUAUGGAGGGAUAGAGAUUGGAAGAGUGUCUGAAACAAGAUCAAUCCUAAAAUCUAUUUCUUUAUCAGGAGGAAUACCAGGAAGGUCAUCAUGAAAUACCUCGGGAAACUCAUUAACCAUGGGAACAGAUUCUAGUGAGGAUCUUUCGAGUUAGAAUCUUUAACUCAGACCUAAUGAUACAAACACCCCUUAGAAAUAAACUUUUGGGCUCUAAUAUAUGAAAUAAACUUCCCUUUAGGCACUAAAGAACCCCCCUUACCAUACAAUGACGGGUUCACUAGGAAAUUUAAACACAAUCGUACGAGUCCAAUAAUCUAAGAAGGCAUAGCACGAAUGUAACUAAUCUAUUCCUAAAAUAACAUCAAAAUUGACCAUGUCUAACUCUAUCAAGUCUACCAGAGUUUCCUUACUACCAACAACUACCACACCUCUUCUAUAGACUCUUUUAAUAACCAUAGAGUCUCCUACCGGGGUAGAAAUAGAAAAGGAAACUGACAAACACUCAGGACCAAAACCAAAAUGCACAACCACAAAUGGGGUCACAUAAGAGAGAGUAGACAAUACACAUUAUGGGAGAAAAGUUUCAAAACACCCAUAACUCUUAGCAUACCCUAACAACAUCUGGAGAUGCCUUAGACUCACAGCGAUUAGCAAUUGCAUAUGAUAAAUUUGGGCCACUGUCGAUGCCAGAAGCAGAAGUAUCUUCCUUCGAUGCGAGAGCAGAUAAAGAACCAAUAGGGACCCUGUUAGCCCCUAAAUUUAUCCGAACAGGACAGUCAUGCUACAUGUGACAAUUCUGACCAUAACAAAAACACUUGUCUUUCCUCUCCACACAGAACCCAUGGUGCAACUUCCACAAAAUCUACAAGGAAGGCAGGAUGGAGCCACAUGAGCCCCACUAGCCUGAGAUUGGGCACCCUAUGCCUAAAAUCCAUCAUCAAAUUAAGAUCGGUGGUCACCCAAUGACUUUGAGUAAGAAACACAAACCAAGGAGAAAGAACUCGACUCCCUUCCCACAUACAUACUUCUUUCUUAGCCACUUAACACCAAACCAUUGGCUUGCACUUUGUUCAGAAAAUUGAGACCUCUUGCUUUGCCUCUCAUCAAUAUCAACUUGUUUAUUUUUUGCUUUCUUCACUUGUUGAAUGUACACGACCAACCGAGAGAUACCCAUGUCUUUGAUCAACAACACUGCUUUGCUAUUAAGGAUCAAAUCACGGGAUAAUCCCGAAGCAAACUUGGGCAUUCUAGCCCUCACAGUAGAAACCAUCUCCGGAGCAUACCUAGAAAACUGAUGGAAUUUUAAUGAAUACUCCUUAUCAAACAUACUUCCUUGCUUCAAGUUAACAAACUAUUCCUACUCUUCAUACCAUUGGUACGCCACAUCUUUCAAUUGGUAAAAAGAAAACUCAACACCUUCAAACUCCAAAGCAUGCAUGAUCUGGAAGAUCUAUUCCAUUUUAUUAAUUAAACCUUGAGGAUCCUUCUCAACAUUAGUACCGGUGAACAUAAGAGGUUGCAACCUCAUGAAUUAGCCAACCCUCAUGGCCUCAGAAGAUGGAGUGAUAGAAGCACUAUGCUCAAGCUGAGAAGCUACUAACUGUGUCAACAGAGUAAUAGAGAGAUGGAACUUAGCAUUGGUAGCAUCCCCUUGAGGUGACUGAGGAUGAGGACAAGAGGGAACUGGUGGAACUCCCAGACCAUUGGGAAUUGGACCCCUAGACUGGGUAUGGACCCCAUAAGUAGACCGAGUCCUAUCAACAUCAUCCCCAGUUGGGAUAGAAGAAAUUUCAUGUGCUUCAGAUUGUUGAGUAGGCAUGAUCUGAAAAAUGUGCAAAUGAAAAUCAGAAAAAUCCAAGACCUUAGACUCUAUAGCUUGAAAUAAGAUAACAAAAAAGUGAAACAGUCCAAAAUGCCUUGUAUCCUCUGUCUUAUAAGUGUGGAGUGAUACACAUCCAUAAAAUAAACUCUACUUAACAUAACUUUAUGGACACUCAACUGACCCUGAACCUAGGCUCUAAUACCAACUUGAUACGACCCAAAAUUGUGCCUUGUUGUAUGGGUAUCUCAAGAUGACCAAGGAACUGAGAUGGACCUAGUAGCAUAACCUAACUAUCACAUGAACCUAUAAGUAUAGGAUGAACUACGAACAUAUAAUCAAGAUAGUGGAAACAAGACUAGUAAACAUAACUUAAGAAUGUCUAACCAUUCAUUAAUGUCGACAUACAAAUCCAAUCUACCCAAGUCCACAGUUAUUCAGAAGCCUCUAUAAAUGUAAAGUUAAUAAUAUGUUAGAACAAGUCCCCGACAAUAGCCAGACUAAGUCUAAAAUAAAUCUAUGACAUAAGAUAAGAAGACCAUGAAAUAUGUGCCUUUUGUAGUAUGGAAGCUCACUACUUCAAUGUCAAUACUCAAAUCGCCUGAACACCUGAUCACUAUGCAGAAAGAGAAGAAUAAGUUUUGGUCCCUGUAUCGUGUGGGGAUACAAGUUUAAAGAUGGUUAGCGAGCGAAUGCUAGCAUGUAACUCAUGAAUAAGGAUUAAAUAAUUCCAACAAUCCAAGACCAAUCAACCAAUACAUAUGACUAAUGCAAUACAUAUAUAUAAGCAUAAAAUUUGAAAUCAUUAACUUAGGAUGUGUAGCUUUUCCAUUCAGAAUUCACCCAUGGACUAUAUAGGGUCAUCUCCACUUGCUGAAAGGGCCCGGAUGCAUAUUUUCCAUUAAGUGUGAUAUCAUGUACACGGUCAUCAUGACCAAAUCUUACACCAUCAAAUUGUUAGUUUCCAGCUUUUGUCUUUUGAGACCUUCACCUUCCACGGCUCGACUAAACAUCCCGCUUUAAAGCCCAUAUUAAAACCAUUCACCCACAACCAACCAUUUAUUCAUUUUCUUACCGAAGGCACUUUGUUGGGAUCAUCAUACUAACACUACUUGAAAGUAUACUCAUACCAUUACCUCUAUUCAUCUACUAUUUAUAUGACUUUUGGGGCUCUAGCCCAUCAUCCAACAAGGACACUCAUUAACCCAAGGUUUAGGGACUCGAACCCAUUUUAUUCAAUUAAAUCAGCAAGGUUUCCAUUUAAACCAUUUCAUUCCCAACAAGGCCUUUACAAAAUAUUUGUAAACCAUUCAUGCUCAUUAAUCCAUUGCCUUAGAUCAAAACACCUUUAACAUGUGACUAGUACUUUCCUUUAGACAUUUUCACAAACACCUUGUGUGCACACCUUUAACAAAACCAAGAUCAAGGUAAAAAUUAUUGAGAUUAAGGUUACCCAUGACCCAUUAAUUAAACCAUAAUCAACAAGAACUCACAUGUGAAAACCAUCACCAAAAAUAUGUGAAAACAUCAUUUAAAUCAAGAGUAAACAAUACCCAUAAUAUGCAUCAAAACCCUCAAUAUUUGGAUUUCAAAAACACCAUUUAAGAAUCAAAAUCAAUGUUCAAACACAUGAUAUUUUUUAACUAACAAUGAGGGAAGAGUUACAUGCCUUAUACAAGAUGAUUCAUGGAAGGAUUCUUUGUCUUCAAGUCUUUAGAUGUCCUCUUUGAUAAACCCUAGCCCCAAUCUUUGUUGAAGAAGUUUAGGAAGGAUUUAAGGGUGUCUUGAUCUUGUAUAUGUGAAGAAUAAAGGUCCCAAAUAUGUCAUAUGUCGAGUUUUUUUAAGGGUUUAGGGGUGGGUAAAUGUCUAGAAAGUCCUCAACUAAAAGUUAUAAAAAUUGAACCCAAGAGGGUAUGACCACCCCAUAUGAGUGGUACCCUAGCUUAUGAGUGGUACCCUAACUCGUACCCUAAACCCCACUAAGGACCCCUAAUAUGACCAACAUACAACUCCCCAUGCAUAACUCAUACCCUAAGGUAUGGGUGGUACCCUACAACCCGUACCCAAGCCAGAAUGCUUUGGCCAAGACUUUAAGCAUCAUACGACGAGGUAUCUCAUGACUUGUACCCUAAGGUUUGACUAGUAAGGCAUCAAAUCAUACAGUAGACAGAAUGUACCCUACAAAAACUGAUGAACAUUUGAGAGAAAGGAUCUUAGGUCGUAUCCUAGUGUAUAACUAGUACCCAAGAGUCAUACUCUGCCCAAAAGCUUUAACUUAGGCAAUUUUCUAGGGGUUUAAUGCCAAGGUGUUUCAAGUAGAUCACUGAAAGAUAGAAAUAAUCUAAGUUGCUCAGACUCUCCAAAAAUAUUGCCGCACCCAUAUCAGAUUCUUCAAAAAUACAUUAUUUUUGGAGGAUCCAACACACACCCGUAGAUAUUUUUGAAGAGUUCGAGUAACUUAGAAAAUAAUGAUAUGUAACUAGAGAGUAAGAUCAUUAGAUAAUUGAUUUAAUCAACGUUUAAAUAAGGAAAAAUCAAUAUGAACAUUAAAAAAGAAAAAAAAAUAGAUAAAUAAAAUUUAGUAUAAUUACUUGUAGUGAUAUGGAAUAUUCUUGAUCAUUUUAGUAGUAGUACUAGCAUUUUUCUUAUGUCUCCAAUUUAUAGGUCAUUGUGUUUCUUUAGCCUAUUGAUCCUUGGCCACUUCUCCUAACAAGCAACUUGUCUUUCAUUAAUUUUCAUUGAUCUCCUCCUAAUUGAACCCUCACUUAAACAACUUCCUCUUUCAAAACCACCUCUAUUUACAUUGUUUGCCUGACAAAAACCUCGUCCUCCUCAUAAUUUUUGUUACUUUGUAGGAGAUAUAGAAUUCUCUCAUUCUAAUUCAAUAGCUCCUACUAUUCUUAUUUAGAAAAUUAAAUUGAUUUUUCUUGAUUUUUAUUGCUAUAAAAAAGGUUGUUUUUACUGCCUUCAAAGAGUAGAUAGUGCAAUAAAAUAGUCAAAAGAAUGCAGAACACAAUAGCUCAACUUUAGAGUGCAGGAUUAAUUGAUCCUAAGAUACUAGCGAUAUUGUCCAUUCAUUCACCAAGAGAAUCUACUUCUACACUAGCAGCUACUAGGACAAACAGUCAAAAUAGUUAAGAUUAAUGUGAAUUAUUAAGUUCAUUUGGUGCUUCAUAUCAUAUUUUGACUGAUAUUGUUGUUGUUGGACUAUAUUGGAUUGUUUCUGUGAUAUCUAUUUAGUUCAUUUGGUGUUUCAUAUUAUAUUUUGACUGAUAUUAUUGUUGUUGUUGAACUAUAUUGGAUGGUUCCUGUGGUAUGUAUUCAAUUUAUUUUGUGUUUUAUAUCAUAUUUUUGUUGAUACUAUUGUUGUUGUUGGACUAUAUUGGAUGGUUCCUGUGAUAUCUAUUCAAUUUAUUUCAUGUUUAAUAUCACAUUUUGACUGAUAUUAUGGUUGUUGUUGGACUGUAUUGGAUGGUUGAUAUCUAUUUAGUUCAAUUGGUGUUUCAUAUCAUAUUUUGGCUUAUAUUGUUAUUGUUGUUAGACUGUAUUGGAUUGUUCCUAUAAUAUCUAUUCAGUUCAUUUGGUGUUUCAUAUCACAUUUUGGCGGAUAUUGUUGGACUGUAUUGGAUGAUUCCUAUGAUAUCUAUUCAGUUCAUUUGGUGAUUCAUAUAACAUUUUGGUUGAUAUUAUUGUUGUUGUUGGAUUGUAUUGGGUGUAUAUUCCAUAAGAAUAGAUCAGUUAUAGCCUCUAUUAUUGUUGCAGUUGUUAGACUAUUGGACUAGUUAUGUUAAGAUUUCAAUUCUACAAAAGUACUUAAAGUGUGUUUCAUCAUAGUGUGUUUCAUUAUAGUUGUAGGAAGAAACUUCUUUCUUGAUAUAUGUAGAUUUGAUGAUAUAUGGAAGCCAAAACUGAGUUAAAAAUGGCAAUCUACUCAAGUAUGUUGAUUAGAUGCAUUAUUUUUUUACCUCUUUCGUCAUAAUUUACUAUUUAGUAGGUUUCUCAACAUUAUUGUUCACAAGAAAUAGUGUCCCAUUAGUGUUAGGCUUUAUUUAAGAAUUUUGACAGGCAUCAGCUUGUUGUUGUUGAACCAAUACGCUAAUAGUAGAAACAAUUUUCAUGUCUUGACCAACAUAUUUUGAAGUUGUAGCUCACACCUUAGUAGUUGAAAAGUGCCCAGAAUUUUCAAGUGCCACGCCUCAGCUAAAGCUUGUAUUAUACAAUAGUAACAUGAAGACUAUCAUGCUCUACACCUAUAAUUUCACCUCUAUUUUUAUACUGUUAAUUGCUGAUCAAAAUCAUCAUUCAAUGCAAUCAUCAUUAAUUGCUGUAUCUCGCACCUCCACAGAUGCAUCUCUCCAUCUUAGAAAAUCUGCUUAUCUCGUACUUGAUCCAAUCUCAACUUUGGGCUUGCCUUUGCUUUUAACUGCCAUAGAUGUGUUAUGUGUGUCAUAUAACUAGUCGAAUUUAAAGAAAUAUAAAUAUACUUUGUGGAUACAUGAAUUGGUGCCUCACUUUGUGGGACGAUAUUUGGGUAUGUUAUUGUUGGAUACAUGAAUAGUAGCUACGCUGGCUGGAUUGAGAUGUGUUUCAUUGUUCUCACUAUUUGUUAGCCAUGAGAAAAUAUGCAAUUUAUAAUUCUAAGAUACCAACGGGUUUAUGUUUGAGAGAUCUUUAUUUGAAGACUUUGAUAUUAAUCUUGAAUUUGCAACUGAAGACAUUAUGCAUUUGAUUAAGUAUUACUAAAUAUUUUGAUUGUGCAUCGAUCUCUUUUAGGAGUACAUAACAUAAAUGAGGUCAGUAUUGCAUUUGAUGUGACCCUAAUCCUACUAGUUUAGAUGAACAGUUUCCUUUUGUAGGAUUAGUAUAUUGUUAUGAAAUUGUUCAUUUUAUAAAUUGUAAGUCUAAUAAUUUGUACAUUAUCUCUUUAAAAGAUCAGUCUUCCCUCAAUUAUACGCUAGUUUAGAUGAGCAGUUUCCAUCUGUAUAUUUUGCCACUUUCUGUCUUGGUGUUUGAAAAAUAUUACUCUAUUAACAUAUUUUUGUUUUUCUUAUUGUUGUAGGUGAUGACAUAAAAGAUGGUGGGAAUGAAAUUGGUGAACUAGACCUGACCUAAUAGAUUACAAACCAUCGCGAUAACAUAUAUAAAACCAUCUUAAUACAGGUUAUAGGAAUAGUUGGUAGCCAUACCAACAUAUUACAAACCAUUAUAAUAACAUAUUAAUAACCAUCCUAAUACGUGUUAUAGGGAUGGGUGGCAGCUGUCCUAAUAGAUUAUAAACUGUUGCAACAACAUAUUUAUAACCAUCCUUAUACGUGUUAUAGGGAUGAUUGAGAGCCA
rnacentral:lncRNA from 1 species